rnacentral:rRNA from 1 species
GACGAACGCUGGCGGCGUGCUUAACACAUGCAAGUGGUGCGACGAACCAGGCGUCGGCCUGGGGCGAAGCCGCGAACGGGUGAGUAACACGUGGGCAAUCUGCCCCUCUGAUCGGGACAACCCGGGGAAACCCGGGCUAAUACCGAAUGAGGUGGCGACUCAUGAGAGUCGUCACGAAAGGAAGCUUCGGCCUCCGCGAAGGGAUGAGCCCGCGGCCCGUUAGCUUGUUGGUGGGGUAAUGGCCUACCAAGGCAACGAUGGGUAGCUGGUCUGAGAGGACGAGCAGCCACACUGGGACUGAGACACGGCCCAGACUCCUACGGGAGGCUGCAGUGGGGAAUCUUGCGCAAUGGGCGACAGCUUGACGCAGCAACGCCGCGUGAGGGAAGAAGGCUUUCGGGUCGUAAACCUCUUUCAGUUAGGACGAAGCUUUAUUGGUUAAUAACCAAUUGGAGUGACGGUACUUUCAGAAGAAGCCCCGGCUAACUACGUGCCAGCAGCCGCGGUAA